ACAGUUUUAGAUGCAGAAUAAAGUAGAAAUGUGUGUUCAGCUGGAAUUUUUUGAAGUCUGUCAAACAUUUUUCAAAUACCUACCAGCCGGACAGUCUUGUUCUUCUAAUGCAAAGUCCAGUUUUCCUGACUCUGCUCACCAUUCCAACCCUUGGAUUUUCAGGAUAUGAGGCAAUUUUCAACUGGAUGCAGACAGGGUAGCACUGAUUUUCUGCUACAGUAUUCUAUUUCAACAUGGAAAAUCAUCACACAGGAGGAAGCCUGUUCUGUGGUGGAAUUGCUUGGAGGAAGAACUUUCUGGUGGAGCACAGUAGUAACAUCAGUGAUUAAAACAAAACCGAUGUUAAAAGAGGAAGAUGAGUAAGGCUGCCAAGUGAAAUACUAGUGCAUGAAAUAAAGCUGAAUUAAUUAUA